rnacentral:tRNA from 1 species
GUGCCCGUAACUCAGUGGUAGAGUGUGAGAUUGCAACUGUAUAAUAAAUCUCGAAGCCGCGUGUUCGAACCACGCCGGGCACU